CAGCCGUAAACAAUGUGCGUUAGGUGUGUCGGUAACCACGCGUUACUGAUGCGCCGAAGAGAAAUCGUGAAACGCACCACCUGGGAAGUACGGUCGCAAGGCUGAAACUUAAAGGAAUUGGCGGGGGAGCACCACAACAGGUGGAGCCUGCGGUUUAAUUGGAUUCAACGCAGGACAUCUCACCGGAUAAGACAGCUGAAUGAUUGUCAAUCUGAAGGUUUUACAUGACUAGCUGAGAGGAGGUGCAUGGCGUCAGUGACU
rnacentral:rRNA from 1 species